UACGAAGGGUGCAAGCGUUACUCGGAAUUACUGGGCGUAAAGCGUGCGUAGGUGGUUUGUUAAGUCUGUUGUGAAAGCCCCGGGCUCAACCUGGGAAUGGCCGUUGAAACUGGCGAACUGGAGUGUGGCAGAGGGGGGUGGAAUUCCGCGUGUAGCAGUGAAAUGCGUAGAGAUGCGGAGGAACACCGAUGGCGAAGGCAGCCCCCCUGGGCUGACACUGACGCUCAGGCACGAAAAGCGUGGGGGAGCAAACAGG
rnacentral:rRNA from 1 species